AGAGUUUGAUUAUGGCUCAGGAUGAACGCUAGCUACAGGCUUAACACAUGCAAGUCGAGGGGCAGCAUGUGGUUGCUUGCAACCAAUGAUGGCGACCGGCGCACGGGUGAGUAACGCGUAUCCAACCUUCCCCUUAGUAGGGCAUAGCCCGUAGAAAUGCGGAUUAAUACCCUAUGUUGUAUAUUGAGGACAUCUGAUUUAUACCAAAGGUUCACCGCUAAGGGAUGGGGAUGCGUCUGAUUAGGUAGUCGGCGGGGUAACGGCCCACCGAGCCUACGAUCAGUAGGGGUUCUGAGAGGAAGGUCCCCCACAUUGGAACUGAGACACGGUCCAAACUCCUACGGGAGGCAGCAGUGAGGAAUAUUGGUCAAUGGACGAGAGUCUGAACCAGCCAAGUAGCGUGCAGGAUGACGGCCCUAUGGGUUGUAAACUGCUUUUAUACGGGGAUAAAGUGACCCACGUGUGGGUUUUUGUAGGUACCGUAUGAAUAAGGACCGGCUAAUUCCGUGCCAGCAGCUGC
rnacentral:rRNA from 1 species